UAUACCAUGCAUGUCGUACGAGGUAUGUCGAGCUUCGGCCGGUGAGUAAAGUGGCGCAGGGGUGAGUAACGCGGGGAUGAUCUGCCCUUUAGUUGGGAAUAACUUACCGAAUGGUUCGCUAAUACCGAAAAUACUAAGUAACUACUGUUGCUUAGUCAAAGAAGGCCUCUGCUUGCAAGCUUUUGCUGAAGGAUGAGUCCGCGUACCAUUAGCUAGUUGGUGGGGUAAUGGCCUACCAAGGCUUCGAUGGUUAGCUGGUCUGAGAGGAUGAUCAGCCACACUGGAACUGAGACACGGUCCAGACUCCUACGGGAGGCAGCAGUGAGGAAUAUUGCGCAAUGGGGGAAACCCUGACGCAGCAACGCCGCGAGAGUGAGGAAGGUUUUCGGACUGUAAAGCUCUGUCGAGCGGGAAGAAAUGCAUGGUGGCUAAUAUCCGUCAUGCUUGACGGUACCGCUAAAGGAAGCACCGGCUAACUCCGUGCCAGCAGCCGCGGUAAUACGGGGGGUGCGAGCGUUGUUCGGAAUUAUUGGGCGUAAAGAGCGUGUAGGCGGCUGAAUAAGUCAGAUGUGAAAGUCCUGGGCUUAACCCAGGAAGUGCAUUUGAAACUGUUCGGCUCGAGUAAGGGAGAGGAAAGUGGAAUUCCUGGUGUAGAGGUGAAAUUCGUAGAUAUCAGGAGGAACACCGGUGGCGAAGGCGACUUUCUGGCCCUAUACUGACGCUGAGACGCGAGAGCGUGGGUAGCAAACAGGAUUAGAUACCCUGGUAGUCCACGCUGUAAACGAUGUUCACUAGGUGUUGGGGGGUAUGACCCUCUCAGUGCCGCAGCUACGCAUUAAGUGAACCGCCCGGGGAGUACGGUCGCAAGAUAAACUCAAGGAAUUGACGGGGCCCGCACAGCGUGAGCAGUGUUAAUCGAUGCACGCGAGAACUUACUAGGCUGACAUCCGGGAUCCUAGAAACUAGAUGCUUUCAGGCACCCGUGACUGUGCUGCAUGCUUCGUCAGCUCGGUCUGAGAUGUUGGGUUAGGCCUCGC
rnacentral:rRNA from 1 species